rfam:Gossypium arboreum cultivar AKA8401 contig_73170_1, whole genome shotgun sequence.
CGUUAAAAAAUUAUCUAUUUUUACUGUUAAAAACUGUCGGAGUUGACGAAACAACCAAACACGUAUGCCACAUAUACCUCAUGCUAAUAUAUAUGGAUCAAUUUUUAACAAUAAAAAUGGAUAAAUUUGUUAACA